UGGCGACCGGCGCACGGGUGCGUAACGCGUAUGCAACCUACCCAUAACAGGGGGAUAACACUGAGAAAUUGGUACUAAUACCCCGUAACAUCAGGACCGGCAUCGGUUCUGGUUGAAAACUCCGGUGGUUAUGGAUGGGCAUGCGUUGUAUUAGCUGGUUGGUGAGGUAACGGCUCACCAAGGCAACGAUACAUAGGGGGACUGAGAGGUUAACCCCCCACAUUGGUACUGAGACACGGACCAA
rnacentral:rRNA from 1 species